rnacentral:rRNA from 1 species
UUCCUACGGGGGGCAGCAGCAAGGAAUCUUCCGCAAUGGGCGAAAGCCUGACGGAGCAACGCCGCGUGUGGGAUGACGCCUUUCGGGGUGUAAACCACUUUUCUCAGGGAAGAAGCACUGACGGUACCUGAGGAAGAAGGACCGGCUAACUACGUGCCAGCAGCCGCGGUAAUACGUAGGGUCCGAGCGUUGUCCGGAGUUACUGGGCGUAAAGCGCGCGCAGGCGGCGGUGUAAGCAUGGCGUGAAAGCCCCAGGCUUAACCUGGGAGGGUCGUCGUGGACUGCACCGCUUGAGGGCGGUAGGGGCUGGUGGAAUGCCUGGUGUAGUGGUGAAAUGCGUAGAGAUCAGGCGGAACACCCGUGGCGAAGGCGGCCAGCUGGGCCGUCCCUGACGCUGAGGCGCGAAGGCGUGGGGAGCGAACGGGAUUAGAUACCCCAGUAGUC